GGAGAAGAGUCAACAGGAAGACGGAGAGGGGAGCGUUAGUAUGGAUGGUACACUGUGGAACAGAAUAUUGCCUGAUUCCGCUAUUGACCAUGCAUGGUUCCAGGCUUUGAGGACAGAGCUGUGGGCAAGACAUGCUGAUGAAUCUGUGCAGAAACCAGGUGAUGAACAAGCAUGGAGCGGAGACAGGUCAGCAGAGAAAGCCACUUGUCACCAUCUGGAACGAGAACUGAGAGUCUAAAGGCUUCUGGAAACGCAUGAGAACUUCCCAGAAAACAUUUGGUGCAGGGUUCCGGGAUGCUUGGCUCUUAACACGGUCCCCUCUGAGGCCCUAUAGGUUGGCCACACAUGUACCGGGGGAGGAACCAAAAAGGGGACCUGAAAGAAUGAUGCAUUUUCUCAGGAAGAGCCUAAGGAGAUGGCCAGGCAAAGAGAUGCUGUUUCUGGCUCCCAUAAGAAAGGUUGGAAUAGAGGUCACCUGUCUUGAGGAUGCUGCAUGCCAGCUGAUGGAAUGGACUUGGCUGGAAUUAAAACCCCCACCCACAUUUUUUUGACCUGCAUGGCUUUUGAUAAGGUUAAAGGAUAUAGACAAUAACCAUCCUUUCACAAGUCAACCCCCAUGUGCCCUUUGUACAUUCCCCCCACUUCCCUGACCUCAUCGUCUGAUGUUUCUAUGCUGUGCCUCAGCUUAAAUGUCACUCCUCUUGAACCUGGAGUUAGAUGCCACUUUGGUCUUGCCACAGCAAACUGGCCCGCAUCUGCCGUCUGUCACCUGGGUGUACUUGCUGAGGGUUGGACUGCUGUCUCUGACAAGAAGGGCCACAAUAGCCUUGUGGUGACUGUGCUCAGUAUCUGGUCCAGGCAGAGGGGAACUCAGCAAUACUUGAGGAAGAAGUUAAAAGUACAAGCUGAUGAAUGUCACCCUCAGGCUUACAAGCUGUUCUCAGAUGGUGGUCCUUGCCACCUUGAUGCUUCCUCUUCCUCCUCUUCCUUUGGGUUUUUUAGACAGACUGUCUCUGUGUAGCUCUGGCUGUCCUGGAACUUGCUUUGUAGAUCAGGCUGGCCUCAAACUCACAGUGAUCCUCCUGCCUCUACCUCCCAAGUACCAGAUUUAAAGGCCUCUGCUGCCAGAGACCACCGUCGGCCAGGGGUGGGAGGAUGGGGAGGUGUUCAGGUCCCAAAGAGGAUAUGUGUGUUCGUGAGAGGAGAGAAAAAAGACGGACAUAAUCUGAAUUGGGAUGGCUGCCAGUGUGUUUACUGAAGAAAGAGUAUACCUUUUAUAUUCUACAGCUGCAUAUCCGAUUAAAUGGUGGACAGAAGGCAUCUGAGCUGGGGUGCAGCUUGAGAUUGGGGUUGAGGAAGCCAGCAUGGACCUUGACAAUGGGCACCAGUCAUGUGUUAAUGGAAGGGCCACAAGUUCCUCUUGCCAGAGAUUAGAAUUUGUCUCUCUUUACAACAAGUCCAGAACUUUCUUCAAGGCCCUAAUGGAAUGGGGACUUGCCCAAAUGCCUGACCUUGGGGAAAAGGCUUUCUUGGGGGGAAUCAGACAUUCCAUUAAAGAAUAUUGCGGGUUCUGGUAUGGCUUAGUUCGUCCAUAUAGCUAAAACUUAAAAGUGAGCAAAGACGAAACUUGACAAAUAUUACUGUGAACCUGACUAGACUUUAAGAGUUCAUAAAUAUUGAUUAUCAAAUGUACCUUAUUUAAACAUAUGCUACUCAUCGAAACUUCCUAGCAGCUUGGUGUUAAUGAGUAUGGGAACAGGUGGCCUUAUCACACUAUAUGACUCUAUGGUGGUGGGGAUUUGUUUUUUCCAAAGAAUUAUUUUGUUUAGAGAGGCUGCCAUUGUAUACAUUUUCAUCCUUCAAAGCCUGCACAAAAUUUCUCAAAAGGAAAGGCAUUAUAGAAGAAAGUAAGAGGUGCUGGAGAAUUGUGACCCACAGAAUCAAAAUGCUGGAACUUCGUCAAGCAGUAAUAGUCGCCAUGUGGUCCAUGCCACUCAGCCACUCCCGCCCGGCUUGAUGACCCUUCUUAAGACAAAUCAUUUUUUAAGUUAAAUAUUGAAAAUGACUUAGUUUUUGUAGGAACUUGUGCAUUUAUGAGUCUAAAAUGACCCAAAUUAUGCAAAUGACUUUGCAUUCUUGUUAUUACAGAAGAGAGAUCGAUGGCAUAAAUUUUCAAGCCAGACUGACCGGUUGGGAUUUCAGUUCCACAAGCAGAGGCUGUGGUGACUCUGGGCAAAUGGUGGGACUCUUCCGUGCCUCAGUUUCUUCAUUUGUAAG